rnacentral:rRNA from 2 species
UAAUAUGAGAGUUUGAUCCUGGCUCAGGACGAACGCUGGCGGCAUGCCUAAUACAUGCAAGUCGAACGAACCAUCCUGAAGAUUGAAGCUUGCUUCAUGAUUCAGAUUUUGGUGAGUGGCGGACGGGUGAGUAACACGUGGGUAACCUGCCCAAAAGUGGGGGAUAACAUUUGGAAACAAGUGCUAAUACCGCAUAACAACUACUUUCACAUGAUCGUAGCUUGAAAGAUGGCUCUGCUAUCGCUUUUGGAUGGACCCGGGCGUAUUAGCUAGUUGGUGAGGUAAUGGCUCGACCCGGGCGUAUUAGCUAGUUGGUGAGGUAAUGGCUC